CUAGUUCAUCUGAAGGAAAUGUAUCCAGUCCAGGUAAGGGGAAUACCAGAGAUAUAUACUGUAUAUACAAUAACACAGUUUUUCAUAUGAUCAAUCUUUUUGCCUCUUCUAUGGGAAAGGAAGCAACUUUUCUCAUUGAAUGCCAACGUCCUGAUUCCUAGCAAUAAAAAGACAGUGGGAUAUAUCGGGCAUCUUUCUGAUCAAUAAUUCAGCAGGAUUAUCUAUGAUAUUAUCGGCAUUGGAAACUCUGAUUUCCGGAAAGAUAACCUCUAAAAGUCAACCAGAUACAGUAACAAUCUCUGAUUUACAGCAUGUUGCCUACUUCACAAUUUCAUAAUGCAGAAUGGAGGGGCAGAUGUAUUCACCAUGGCAUAUACACCUACAGAAGUCGAAGAACCAGCCGUGGAGGCAAACGAUGACAUCCCUGGGGGUGUGCAGACCACUGCUGAGUGGACUCAGUUCAGACAAGGACCUUGCUCAACAUAUGUGGGCUAAUAGGGGGGGUUAAAAACUAUCGAGUUGUCUCGUCACUUGCUUAAAACACCAUAAGUGAAUCUGUUAUGUAUUUGCAUUGGUUACUCUUCAUGGUUAAGCUUUGAAUCAUGUGCAAUGGAUUCGAACAAAUGAGUUAUUUUUUUACUCUAUCCUCUAUUAUGUCUGUUCCUGGCUAAUAUUUGCAUUCGUAAUAAAUUUAUUUGCAGACUUUAGCUUUCACAUGGAUGAACAUAUCAGUUCAGUUCACACCAUGUCUUUUGUUUUGCUUGCUUGUUUGUACAAUGGAGAUAUUAUAGUGUUGGAGCUUUUGUUCUUGCUUACUGCACUUCUAAUAUUAAAUAUAUGUUAAUUUGAAACUGUAUAA
rnacentral:lncRNA from 1 species